AAGGAGGUGGAAAUCAGAGACCCUAUGGACAGAACAGUCCCUGGCUCCACCCCCUGUAUCUUACAUUGAGUGGAAGAGUUUGAUAACAGAGAAGUGGGAGACCCAUCCAAUUGCCGGGUGGGUUGAGGGGAGGAUGGCAUCAAGGAAAACUUCCUGGAGGGGCGGCUGAUUAUUCCCAUUCUGAGAACAGGAAUACCGAGUCAUGAGGGAGAUCCUGCUGCUCCAGGUGGCUGCAAAGAAUUAGAACCAGAGCCCGAGGAGCGAUUUGGGGCCUGGUUCCAGGACAUGGAGCUGCUCAACCAGAAUGAUAGCUACAGCCUGUCCUGCCAGCUGGAACCCCAGGCUUAGUUGGGCAACAGAAUAUUCAAGGCCAAGAAGAACCGGCCAUCAUCAAGUUCAGGGCCCCCAGGCCCCAACACCGAGCCCCAUACCAGUGGCCGAUCACAGCCCUAUCCUCAGCAGCGCAGACACAGCUGGGAGGCUUGCGAUGCACAGGGCCAGCUCCUCACACACGACGGGAAGGGGAGCAUUGUAAGCUGAUUCAUGGGGACCCCUGGAGCCCAAGAGAGAGGGGACAACCCCACCCCAGCUCCCUGACAUCUCUACCCCAGCGCCUAUUCACCCAUUGGGGAGGAACAGUAGUUAUGUGUUGUAAAUAAUAAAUGCCAUAUUUGAAUAUUAUAUUCAAGUCCUGUUCCCUUUACAGCCUGGGAGUUGUGGUGUGGUUCUGUCGCUUUCUGUAGGCAUGUGAGAGAGACACAGAAUCUCACAUUUCUCCUUGAAUCAAGAACUCUUCUGGGUCAUCAGCUUAUUGUAUGUGGGGGAAGGGAGAAGGGCCAGCCCCUUCCCUGACUAGUCGGGACACUCCCAAGUCCCCCUAACUCAGAGGACAAGUUCAUUUCAGUAUCAUUCAGCUCCUCCAGGAGCAGACACGGCCCCCCGCCCAUUCUCUUGGGAUUUAAAGGUUGAAGGUACUUUCACAGGCAGAGCAACAACCACUGAAAUGUGGGUGUGUUUAAAACAGCACUACCCAGGACUGUGUCGUGCCACAGGCAGG